rnacentral:lncRNA from 1 species
UACCGUAGUAUGGACGGUGCGUUUUAUUUUGGGAAGUUGGCUUGUGGCAGCAGAUACAGAGUGGGCAUAAGGAGUGCAAAUGGAAGAGAGCAUGAACAUAGCUGAGUAGCUGCGGGGGCAGCUGCGGUGCUUGGGCUCGGAUCCGUGCCAAGGUUGGUAGGUGCGUGGUCGGGCUUCGGGGCACCUUCCCGGCGGCACCCGACCCCCCUCCCCUCCCCCUCCCCUCCCCGUUGCCCUCGCCGGCCCAGCCGCCCGAUACGUUACUCAUGCCGCGCCCGCGGCAGCACAUCCAAUAACCGGCUUCCCGGUGCUUGAUCCUGACCGCGGGCCGCUUUCCUGUGCGGCGGCAGUAUGCGCGCCUGCCGCGCCUGCGGGCUCUGCUGUCGGACGGCGGAGGCGUGCAAGCAAACUCCUCCAAUCCUGGCAUGCCGCGCUCGACCGGGGCCUGCUGGCGCUCGUGCGCGAGUUCAGCAGUAAUGCGGCUAGCUAGGAAGGCG